UGUUGGGAUGAGCACUGGGUGUUGUAUGGAAACCAAUUUGACAAUAAAUUUCAUAUUUAAAUAAAUAAAUAAUAAAUAAAAUAAAACAUUUAUUUGAUGAGAGGUAAAAGGAUUAAACGAGACAAUGCACACACAAAAAUAAAUAAAAAUAAUAAAAUAAAAUAAAAUAAAAUAAAAUAAAAUAAAAUAAAUAUUUUAAAGCAAGGCAAGGUAAUCAACAGUAUCCAGAGCAUCCUGUAGUAGCUGAGGACGGAACACUGAUGCUUGUUCCCAAGGUCCAGUCUCUUCUUGAUGCUACUCCUCAACACUCAGAAGAAGCCUUUGUCUAGAGAAGAUAUCUAUAGCCCAGCAACUCCCAGUUACCAUGGGAAGCAAGUAUAUUAUCUGGUCCAUAGCUCUUUCCAGAUGUGUACCAACAGUUAGGAUUGUAUGUUGGCAACCACAUUCUGAAAUCCUUAUCAAGAAAAUUUUAACUACAGAGUUACAAUAAAUAAUACAGAUUUUCAUAAUAUAAGUUUUGGACCAUUUAACCACCUAUUUAUUAAUCUCUAUAAUGUCUUUUCAAGACAGUUGGGAAAGUGUAGAUUAGCCUUGAAACUAUGAAACUGUAUUCCUUAGCACCAUUUUGGUUAGCUAAAUAUAUAAGUUCACCUGAGCUAGCUACAGAAAGAUUAGAAAUUGAUUUUAAAAAUACAGUGAUAUUUAAGGAUAUGAGGAUAAAAGGGUUCUAGCUGGGCAGAAACCAGGAAGCUAAAAAGUAUUAGGAACCCCCAUCAUCCUCCCCCCAUGAUUCCCCCACGGUUUUCUCUGGUUCUUUUUGAGAGUCUAAUUCAUUAUUUUCCCUGACAACCGGCUUUUACCUGCUUCUAAUUCAUAAGGUGGAAUAUGACCACUAACAACAGUGAGUUUAUCCACUUACUGAGGUGAUUUCUUGAAAUAUGAAUUUGUGUGUAUGUUUUGUUUUGUACUUCCUUCUGCCUCCCACCCCCCAGAGCCAUCUACAUUGACUAAAAGAGAAUUAGGAAGGUUCCAGACAGUAUGUAAAGAUAAUAAAACAGUCAAUGCUUAAUGCUUUCUUUCUUUCUUUUUUUUUUUUUUUUUAAUUUAAAAAAGGGGCUUUUUUGUAAGAGUCUUUCAGAAACAAUAGUUUUGGAAACCAAAGCUUUUCUUCUUUUUUUAAAGAGCAGCUUAAGGUUCACAGCAAAAUUAAGGGGAACUUAACAGAGAUUUCCCACACAUGCAUAGAAGCCAAAGCUUUUGAUCUGAAUGAGGUAGGUUUUUGUUGAAGGGGGAAAAGGAUUGUGAGAAUUGGAAGGAAAAGCCUCAAAGGAAGCAGGGCAGAGAAUUUAUGUGCUAAUAAUAAUACAUUGGAAAGAGGCUGCAAGAAACUCCUGACUGUAACCACCCCUUACCCAGGGAGAAGGGAGGUGAGGUCAGCAGAGCCUGGGAUAAGGGACCAGGACCUCUGAGGAACCAUGUGGAUGGAGGCAGAGUUGGUCUAGAGAGAUGAUGAGUACCUUACACCAGGGCUGGGAGCCACAUGGGGGGGGCCCAGCUGGCCUGCAGAUCAUGGGCCACUACUGGAGUGAGCCCACACUUGUCCUGAUCCUUUGUGCCAAGGAGCCACAACUAGCUGGGCAUUUUGCUUUGCUACCUGUAGAGGCCCUUCCACUGACAAAAGUGAGCACAUCACAUCACCUGGGCCCAUCCAGCAGAAGGGGCCCUCCUGGACUCAGGAGUUCGAGGACCUCCAUCUGAUCUCCCCACACUGAUAAUCGGCCUUUUCAACAGAGCAGGAUAUUCCUAAGCUUUCCAAAGGAGAAGGUGGGUGACCUCAAAGGGCGUUAGUGGUAGUGGGGAAAGGAUGCCACUGCCCCUGGACUUGGCUAUUUCUGAACAGUGGGGAACUUGACCUUGUCACAGAGUCACAUAGAUUGCUGCUCUCUAUCUCCAAGUCCAGUUCUAAAUUGUCAGGGAAGGGAUUCUAAAUGGCUUUGUCUGGGUCAAGUAUACACACCUGUUUAACCAACUGUGGAAAGAGAAGUAGAGAUUCAUCUACUUUAGGUGGUGGGGAUAUUUUAUGGUGAUGUCACAGACUGGGCAUAUAUUCCAGGGUGCUUUCAUAUGAAACUCUUUCCACAGUUAUACGUCAUAGCAUCAGAUCAUCACAUAUAUGUUAGUUAGCUCUCAGACUUAUAAAAUUUAAUGAACUAUUAUGUAAUCUUGGAUCCAAUAUUUCUGUGCCCAGAUUUUUCCACUUAAAACCACGAAGACAUUAGCAAAAGUAUCUCAAAAUUUCUUGUCUUUAUUUAAGAUUCUAGGAUUCUCUUUAUCUCACCAUUAUCUGUAGAUGGCUACAGGCUGAUCAUUCAGAGAGCCAGUACUGAAAAAUUAAAUUCUGUGCUCAAAUAACCAAUACCUUCUAUACAUGCAAACCCAUUACCUACCUGCUGCACAGCACAGCACUACCCGGUCAUACUGCCCACUCUCACCACCCACACACACAUUCAUAUGUCAGAGGUUGCUUGUUUCCACUCUUCAGGAUUAAAGUCCUUGUCUUGGAACUGUGAGAGGAGAGAGGGCUUUUGUGGGACAGAUGGGCUGAGGUGGAGAGAGAAGGCUGGAAAGGGCAGAGUGAAGUGUCUCCUCCAAAUCCCUUGGUCUGAUUUGGCAUCCUCCGUGCCGUGAGGGCCUGGAGGCUGGAGCCGAGUGAGUUAGUCAAGAAGACUCCGUGAGAUUUUGAGUACAAGCAGAGCGGCUCCAGAAUCCCAGGUGACAUGUGUGGUUGGAGUGUGGCUGAGACUUCCCUAAAGACUGGCAGCUGUGGGAGCAGACCCUAUGCCCUGGACAAAGACUCUGGAGAUGUCAGAGGUUGGUGAGCGGUCUCCCUGCAGCCUUAUAAGGAGUAGAUGUCAUGAAGCUGGAGCUGAAGUAAAAGAAGAAGAAAGCAAGCCCAAAGUACAUGUCAAGCAGGGUGCUGGCAUUGGUUUGGGGAAUCUGCUUACUUAGGACCCACUUUACCUGAGAACCAACGUGCUGCACUGACUCAAAUAGACACGAAAGACCUUUAAGAGCCACAAAACUUUGUUUCCAGAUGUUAUGGGGUAAAUUAUGUCCCUAAAAAUUCAUAGUUGAAGCUUAUUUACUUAGAGACAGAGAGAGGGCGCAUGUGAUCAAGGGGCAGAGAGAGAGAGAAUCCCACAAGGGGCAGAGACAGAGAGGGAGAGAGAAGUGGGGCUUACCCAAAGCGGGGCUUGAACUCAUGAACCAUGAGAUCAUAAUCUGAGCUGAAGUUGGAUGCUUAACCACCGAGUCACCCAGAUGCUCUCACAUGUUGAAGUUUGAACUCCCCAGUACUUCAGAAUGUAGCCAUAUUUGAAGGCAGGAUCUUUAAAGAGGUAAUUAAAUUAAAAUGAAGUCUUCUGGUGGACCCUCCUCUAAUAUGAUUGGUCUCCUUAUAGAAUGAGGAAAUUUAGGUACAGACGCAUACAGAGAGGGAAGAUGAUGUGAAGAGACAGGGCGAGGAUGGUCAUCUACAAGAGGAGGACAGAGGCUGGAACAGAUCCUUCCCUCAUCACCCUCAGAGGGAACCAACUCUGCCAACACCUUGAUCUUGGACUUUUAGCCUCUCGAAUUGUAAGAAAAUAAACUUCUGUUGUUUAAGCCACUGGGUUUGUGGUACUUUGUUACAGCAGCCCUAGAAAACUAAUACUAGGUCAUUGUUUUCUGAAGGAAAUUUCUUGAUUUCUGCCCUUUAUAAACUUCCUAAUAAAACAGACUAAAGAUUUAUUGAAUUAUAACUGUGUGUGUGUGUGUGUGUGUGUGUUUUAAGAACAGGGAGAAGACAUUAGUAUUAUCCACGUAAAGCUAAACAUGUCACAACAGAACAGAAAAAAGAGCUACACCUUCAGCCUAGCUAGUGACUGAUGGCAUCACAAAUAGCAAAAUGGCCAGUUUCAAGUGAUUUCAUAAUAAUGUUCUCUGAAAGAAACCAACUAGCUGUUUAAUUAUUGAGUCCUACAGGAUUUCCCACAAAAGGAUUAUUUUAAACUCAGAGCAGCCUUGAAAGGUGCUCGUUGACCAUCCCGGGACUCCAGUCUAUAGGAAUUCACAUGGACACACCAGAACAAACUGAGAAUAUGGUGAUGGUUAAUGGUAUUAACAGGCUAAUUGUAAGUUGUUCUGCUCCUUUGGUGUUCUCGAGCAGAAAUAUCAAACAAUCUCUGGUGAGUAUCUUGCAACAUACAAAUGCCAAUUGCAUACUGCAAUUUCAAGUUGUAUACCAAACAUGAGAUCAGCUGACAGUUUCCUGAAGUCUCACCAAAUAUGGCAAAGCAUGACGCUAUUUACUGGAAACAAGUGAUUUGUUUUAUUGCCUACAUUUUGAACACAAUAUAAAGAUACCCAGGCAGUGUCCUACUUCAAAAAAACUUCAAAAUAAAACCAGAAAGAAAGACAAACAGACAGUGGGACAGAGAGAGAACUACAGAUAAGUGGGAUCUUCUGGCCAAAUUGUUUUACUCUUGACUUUGGGCUACAGGAAAAAAAAAUCCCUAAAUGAAGGUGCCUUUCUUUUGUUUCUCUAAAAGUUUCUUGUACAGAAUACAUUUCCUUUUCCAAUUGUGAUAUGAAAAAAUUAAAUAGAACAAUGUUGGAUGUCUGCUGGGUCAGAAAAUUACUUUAAUA